rnacentral:rRNA from 1 species
GACGAACCGAGCGAACGUUGUUCGGAAUCACUGGGCUUAAAGGGCGCGUAGGCGGGUGCUCAAGUCUGUGGUGAAAUCCUCCGGCUCAACCGGAGAACUGCCAUGGAUACUGGGUGCCUCGAGGGUGGUAGGGGUAUGCGGAACUAUCGGUGGAGCGGUGAAAUGCGUUGAUAUCGAUAGGAACUCCGGUGGCGAAGGCGGCAUACUGGACCACAUCUGACGCUGAGGCGCGAAAGCGUGGGGAGCGAACAGG